rnacentral:rRNA from 1 species
UAGUUUGACUGGGGCGGUCUCCUCCCAAAGAGUAACGGAGGAGCACGAAGGUUGGCUAAUCCUGGUCGGACAUCAGGAGGUUAGUGCAAUGGCAUAAGCCAGCUUAACUGCGAGACGGACAGGUCGAGCAGGUACGAAAGUAGGUCAUAGUGAUCCGGUGGUUCUGAAUGGAAGGGCCAUCGCUCAACGGAUAAAAGGUACUCCGGGGAUAACAGGCUGAUACCGCCCAAGAGUUCAUAUCGACGGCGGUGUUUGGCACCUCGAUGUCGGCUCAUCACAUCCUGGGGCUGAAGUCGGUCCCAAGGGUAUGGCUGUUCGCCAUUUAAAGUGGUACGCGAGCUGGGUUCAGAACGUCGUGAGACAGUUCGGUCCCUAUCUGCCGUGGGCGUUGGAUGAUUGAAGGGAGUUGCUCCUAGUACGAGAGGACCGGAGUGAACGAACCUCUGGUGUUCGGGUUGUCACGCCAGUGGCACUGCCCGGUAGCUAAGUUCGGAAUCGAUAACCGCUGAAAGCAUCUAAGCGGGAAGCGAGCCCUGAGAUGAGUCAUCCCUGACCCCUUGAGGGUCCUAAAGGGCCGUUGGAGACCACAACGUUGAUAGGUGGGGUGUGUAAGCGCGGCGACGUGUUGAGCUAACCCAUACUAAUUACCCGUGAGGCUUAACCAU